rnacentral:rRNA from 1 species
AUUGAACGCUGGCGGUAGGCCUAACACAUGCAAGUCGAACGCGAAAGUCCUUCGGGAUGAGUAGAGUGGCGGACGGGUGAGUAACGCGUAGGAAUCUGUCCUGUGGUGGGGGAUAACGUUUCGAAAGGAACGCUAAUACCGCAUACGCCCUACGGGGGAAAGCGGGGGAUCUUCGGACCUCGUGCUAUAGGAGGAGCCUGCGUCGGAUUAGCUAGUUGGUGGGGUAAAGGCUCACCAAGGCGACGAUCCGUAGCUGGUCUGAGAGGAUGAUCAGCAAACACGGAACUGUGACGCGGUCCGGAGUCCUACGGGAGGCAGCAGUGGGGAAUAUUGCGCAAUGGGCGAAUGCCUGACGCAGCCAUACCGCGUGUGUGAAGAAGGCCUUCGGGUUGUAAAGCACUUUCAGUGGGGAGGAAAAGCUGGCGGCUAAUAUCCGCCGGCCGUGACGCUACCCACAGAAGAAGCACCGGCUAAUUCCGUGCCAGCAGCCGCCGUAAUAC